UUAGCAGCAAACWRACGAACGSUGGCGGCGUGCYUAMCACAUGCAAGUCSRACGGUAACAGUCCCUUCGGGAGCUGACGAGUGGCGCACGGGUGAGUAACGCGUGGAUAUCUGCCUAUUAGUGGGGGACAACUACGGGAAACCGUAGCUAAUACCGCAUAAUCUCUACGGAGGAAAGCAGGGGACCUUUCGGGGCCUUGCGCUGAUAGAUGAGUCCGCGUCUGAUUAGCUAGUUGGUGGGGUAAUGGCCUACCAAGGCGAUGAUCAGUAACUGGUUUGAGAGGAUGAUCAGUCACACUGGAACUGAGACACGGUCCAGACUCCUACGGGAGGCAGCAGUGGGGAAUAUUGCACAAUGGGCGAAAGCCUGAUGCAGCGACGCCGCGUGCGGGAAGAAGGCCUUCGGGUUGUAAACCGCUUUCAAUUGGGAAGAAGAGAUGAGGGCUAAUAUCCCUCUGAUUUGACGGUACCUUUAGAAGAAGCACCGGCUAAUUUCGUGCCAGCAGCCGCGGUAAUACGAAAGGUGCAAGCGUUGUUCGGAUUUACUGGGCGUAAAGAGAUCGUAGGUGGUUUAUUAAGUCGGAUGUGAAAUCCCGGGGCUCAACCCCGGAACUGCAUUCGAUACUGAUAGGCUAGAGUUUGGGAGGGGUAAGCGGAAUUCCGUGUGUAGCAGUGAAAUGCGUAGAUAUACGGAGGAACACCUGAGGCGAAGGCGGCUUACUGGACCAAUACUGACACUGAGGAUCGAAAGCGUGGGUAGCAAACAGGAUUAGAUACCCUGGUAGUCCACGCCCUAAACGAUGUCAACUAGCCGUAGCGGGUAUCGACCCCUGCUGUGGCGAAGCUAACGCGAUAAGUUGACCGCCUGGGGAGUACGGUCGCAGAKCURMACCUCAAAAUGAUGCGCGG
rnacentral:rRNA from 1 species